UACGUAGGGUGCAAGCGUUUGUCCGGAAUUAUUGGGCGUAAAGAGCUCGUAGGCGGUUUGUCGCGUCUGCUGUGAAAACUCGGGGCUUAACCCCGGGCCUGCAGUGGGUACGGGCAGACUAGAGUGCGGUAGGGGAGACUGGAAUUCCUGGUGUAGCGGUGAAAUGCGCAGAUAUCAGGAGGAACACCGGUGGCGAAGGCGGGUCUCUGGGCCGUAACUGACGCUGAGGAGCGAAAGCAUGGGUAGCGAACAGG
rnacentral:rRNA from 1 species